CUCACGACUCGUCAAACACUCAAGUGUGGCGGACUGGCUGCGCGCACGGCGCUAGCUCGCAGCAACGAUAUCGCUCUUGAGGCCCGCUGGCACCAUCUUUCUCUCCUCUUCUCUCGCCUUGGUACACUGCGACACGGGGCGCGCGAAUGAUCACCGCGGACGCGGCUCGCUUUCCCCACACAUUCGAGGCAAUCACGGACGCCAGGAGGCAAAGACGAACAAAUGAGUCGGCUCCGGGGCGGCCACCGCGCGCCACAGAAAUUCGCUCGGGAAAAGCGAUCGCGAGAGUUCUGCACCGCACGAGUAUCGGCUAACGUAAAAUGGCGGCUGCUGUUGACGAGAAGUUUUUCUACGCUUGUCAGAAAAUGUCCGACUGGUUCCGUAUAGUUGCCGUGACAUUAGACUAGCCAUCUGAUUGGUCUAUAUGAUCAUGUGACCUAAUCACUUGCUAUUAUUGGUCAAACUGCUGCGAGGCCACGAACGCUGUGAUUACGUUCACGCCGCCGGUCCAACAGCCGCGAGAAUUUCGUUUAUUCCUCUGCCGCCAUUUGAUAAAGGCCGGUCUUACAUAGUGGUUGAAUGACAAGAAACUCAAAAAUUGUAUUUAUUACUGCAUUGACAAAAUCAAGAGUGAUAAAGGGAUAUCAUUACAAGAUGGCCAGGGAUUUCUCGAUCGACAGGUUAAAAGGAAGAAUGUACACAUAUACAAGGUGGGGAGUUGCGUUGCGCAGAACGUCCUCUGUUCGAGAAAGAGAAUCUGACUCGUGAUAGACAUGCGUUUGUGUGCGCUCGCACGCGCACGAUAGUGUCAGAUACACAGAAUUGUGUAAAGAAAAAGGUGAACAUGAGAAGAGAGGGAGUAUUGGAAAUGGGACGGGAAUUAGAUGACGCCGUGGCAGCAGCCACCUAGCCACCCAUUUCAGUGACAGCGACAGCGACGGCAAUUCUUUA
rnacentral:lncRNA from 1 species